GAUAGCAGCUAAGGGGAAGAGCAUCUGCCUGGCAUGCAUAUGGUCCCAGGUUCAAUCCCUAAUGGCAUCU